GAGCAUUACAGUGACAUUUUAAUAUGUUCUUGAAUAGUUCCCCAAACUAUACUCAAAUAGUAAGAUUGUUAAUAUUUAUGAUAGAACAGUUGUGGUACCUCAUUAGCAGUUUAAAGAUUCUGUUACUUCAUGUUAAUUAUGCCUUGUAUGCCUUUUUAAAAUAAAAAGUACAAUUACAGGCAUUCUUCCUUUUGUCUACUCCUAAAGGCUAGGCUCGGCGGAGAGCGAGUCGGCGUGAAUGAGAGCAAACCAACAGGGCUGUGCGUGGCGCGUGUGAGUAAGACGCGAGCGGGCCCCACACGCAGGCGGCGGCGGCGGCGGCGGCGGCGGCGAGGUCUGAGGCGGGGACUAGCUUAUGUCUAUAAUCCCAGCAAUUUGGGAGGAGAAGGUGGAAGGAUCACUUGAGGCCAAGAGUUUGAGAUCAGCCUGGGCAACAUAACGAGACCCCUUCUCCACAAAAAAUUAGAAAAAAAAAAAAAAUUAGCUGGGCAGGGUAGUGUAUGCCUGUAGUCUCACCCACUCUGGAGGCUGAGCCAGGAGGAUCCCUUGAGCCCAGGAG
rnacentral:lncRNA from 1 species